AUCCUGAGGGAUGCUGCGGCGAGAGAAUCUCCAACUCAUGGAGGCUGAGCUUCUGCGGGAGAGGCCACAGCCUGAAGAAGAGGUGGGAUCGGAAAUAAACCCGCCUGGGAGACCUGCAGGCACCAGCAGUGCAAAUUUUGAGGCACAGAAUUCUCCAGGGAUUCAGGAGAAAGAGCACUCAGUGGGAAAAGGAGGAAUUGAUUUUAAUGAAGCGGGGAGGACUUAAGCUUUCUCUGGGGAGCUGCUCUUGUGCUGUUUGGCCCCUGCCUACUCGGAAUGGAACAAAGCAUCGAACAAACAACUGAGAUCCUGUUGUGCCUAUCACCUGUUGAAGUUGCCAGUCUUAAGGAAGGAAUCAAUUUCUUUCGCAAUAAGAGCACUGGCAAAGACUACGUCUUGUACAAGAAUAAGAGCCGACUGAGGGCAUGCAAGAAUAUGUGCAAGCACCAAGGAGGCCUGUUCAUAAAAGAUAUCGAGGAUUUAGCCGGAAGUGUGUUACAUUGAAUGAUUUUCAAAUGUUGAAUCAGCCUUGCAUCUUUCAAAUAUUGAACCAGUGUGGCAUAAAGUCCACUUGUUUUAUGGCCCAAGUUGUUGAAAUGGAUGAAAACAACGGACUUUUGCUUUUAGAACUGAAUCCUCCUAACCCUUGGGACUUACAGCCCAGAUCUCCUGAAGAGUUGGCUUUUGGAGAAGUACAGAUAACAUAUCUCACUCAUGCCUGCAUGGACCUCAAGUUAGGAGACAAGAGAAUGGUGUUUGACCCUUGGUUAAUCGGUCCUGCUUUUGCCCGUGGAUGGUGGUUGCUCCAUGAGCCUCCAUCUGAUUGGCUGGAGAGGCUGUGCCAGGCAGACCUCAUUUACAUCAGUCAUCUGCACUCAGACCACCUGAGUUACCCCACACUGAAAAAGCUUGCUGGGAGAAGACCAGAUAUUCCCAUUUAUGUUGGAAACACAGAAAGGCCUGUAUUUUGGAAUCUGAAUCAGAGCGGUGUCCAGUUGACUAAUAUCAAUGUCGUGCCAUUUGGAAUAUGGCAGCAGGUGGACAAAAAUCUUCGAUUCAUGAUCUUGAUGGACGGUGUUCAUCCUGAGAUGGACACUUGCAUUAUUGUGGAGUACAAAGGUCAUAAAAUACUCAAUAUAGUAGACUGCACCAGACCCAAUGGGGGAAGGCUGCCUAUGAAGGUUGCUCUAAUGAUGAGUGAUUUUGCUGGAGGAGCAUCAGGCUUUCCAAUGACUUUCAGUGGUGGAAAAUUUACGGUCUAUAUUCAUUGCCUCCCGGAGUGUGUAACCACAUGAGAAAUAGAGGGAAGGUUCUGU
ensembl:lncRNA novel transcript